ACCUACCCUAGCCCGUCUUAGCUAAUCAGAAGCUGCUACAUUAGCAGUCGAGAAACAUUUCAGAACAGCGGCGGGCUUCUCGCCCAGAACAUGAUUGGCUGCUCUCUGCACUGCACGCAGCGGGCCGACAUUGCACACAGUCGGCUCUGCUUCAUAUGUGUAGCAGAGCUUGCUCUCCUCUGCUACACAUGCAGCAGAGCCAGCUGUGUCAUUUUGACAACUUUGCUUAAUUAUGGCUAUAAAUACGAAAUAUAAAUAUGACUAUAAACAUGAAAACAGGCAGUGUGAACAUGGCCUCAUGGGGACGCACUAGAUGUCUGUUAUAUUUGUCAGUUGCUCCUAAGCAACAGCCGAUCAUAUGCCACCCUAUAUGUUAUAAGAAAAGGUGGUGGUGUAUAUAGGCCUCUGCUGAGGAGCAACAGGUAUUCGGUGAGCACAUUUCCCGCCAGGUCAUGCACCGAAGCAACACCGCAUUAGGAGGACGUGCCCCGGUGCCCUAUUCUAGUGGUAGAACCCAUUCCUGAGCUCCUGCACCAGCACGUGGUAAGACCGCUCCUCGUAGCCACCAUUAUAUCAGCCUCAUCUAACCGCAUUUCACUUUUAACCCCUUCAUGACCCUCCAAUUUUGGGUCUUUGCUGAGACAGCAACCACCAGAGAACUCAGGGCAAGUGAUCA